GUGAGGAAUUUUGCGCAAUGGGGGCAACCCUGACGCAGCGACGCCGCGUGGAGGACGAAGUCUUUCGGGAUGUAAACUCCUGUCAGUGGGGACGAUAAUGACGGUACCCACAGAGGAAGCACCGGCUAACUCCGUGCCAGCAGCCGCGGUAAGACGGAGGGUGCAAGCGUUGUUCGGAAUUACUGGGCGUAAAGCGUAUGUAGGCGGCAAGUUAAGUUCAAUGUUAAAGCCCACGGCUCAACCGAGGAGAUGCAUUGAAUACUGGCUAGCUAGAGCGUGUUAGAGGAAGACGGAAUUCCCAGUGUAGCGGUGAAAUGCGUAGAUAUUGGGAGGAACAUCGGUAGCGAAAGCGGUCUUCUGGGACAUACCUGACGCUGAGGUACGAAAGCGUGGGGAGCAAACGGGAUUAGAAACCCUGGUAGUCC
rnacentral:rRNA from 1 species